CACCGACCAGCAGCAGCAGCAGCAGCUCGUCCUCCUCUGAGAGAGAUCAGAUCCAGGGAGCCGGCUGACAGCCGAACCGCCGCGCCGCCAUGGCAGACAACAACAACCAAGCCGGCUCGGAGAACCACCGUAUCAAGAGCUUCAAGAACAAGGGCCGGGACGUGGAGACCAUGAGAAGACAUCGAAACGAGGUGACGGUGGAGUUGAGAAAGAACAAACGAGAUGAGCAUUUACUGAAGAAGAGAAACGUCCCGCAGGAGGAGAGUCUGGAGGACUCUGAUGUCGACUCAGACUUCAAAGGACAAAACAUUACACUUGAUGCCAUCCUACAGAAUGCGACCAGUGACAACGCAGUUAUACAGCUCAGCGCUGUGCAGGCGGCUAGAAAACUUCUCUCCAGCGACAGAAAUCCUCCCAUCGAUGACUUGAUAAAGUCUGGCAUCCUGCCCAUUUUAGUCAAAUGCCUGGAGCGGGACGAUAACCCGUCCCUCCAGUUCGAGGCAGCUUGGGCUCUGACCAACAUCGCCUCCGGGACGUCAGCGCAGACUCAGGCUGUGGUUAAAUCUAAUGCAGUGCCCUUGUUCCUGCGGCUGCUGCGGUCGUCCCACCAGAACGUCUGUGAGCAGGCCGUGUGGGCUCUGGGAAACAUCAUCGGUGACGGUCCACAGUGCAGGGACUAUGUCAUUUCCCUGGGUGUGGUCAAGCCCCUGCUCUCCUUCAUCAACCCAUCAAUCCCCAUCACCUUCCUCCGCAACGUCACCUGGGUCAUCGUUAACCUCUGCCGCAACAAGGACCCGCCGCCGCCCAUGGAGACGGUGCAAGAGAUCCUGCCGGCCCUCUGCGUGCUCAUCUACCACACCGACAUGAACAUCCUAGUGGACACGGUCUGGGCUCUGUCCUACCUGACGGACGGAGGCAACGAGCAGAUCCAGAUGGUCAUCGACUCUGGAGUCGUCCCGUUUCUGGUGCCUCUGCUCAGCCACCAGGAGGUCAAAGUUCAGACGGCGGCUCUGAGGGCUGUCGGGAACAUCGUGACGGGAACAGACGAGCAGACGCAGGUGGUUCUGAACUGCGACGUCCUCUCCCACUUCCCCAACCUGCUCUCGCACCCGAAAGAGAAGAUCAACAAGGAAGCCGUCUGGUUCCUGUCCAACAUCACGGCUGGGAACCAGCAGCAGGUCCAGGCCGUGAUCGACGCCGGGCUGAUUCCCAUGAUCAUCCACCAGCUGGCCAAGGGCGACUUCGGCACUCAGAAAGAGGCGGCUUGGGCCAUCAGCAACCUCACCAUCAGCGGGAGGAAAGACCAGUAUGAAUGUGGUGUGUAUGUGUGGGUUUGUGUAGGUGGAGUUCUUAGUGACGCAGAAUGUCAUCCCUCCGUUCUGUUACCUGCUGUCAGUGAAGGACUCCCAGGUGGUGCAGGUGGUGCUGGACGGCCUGAAGAACAUCCUCAUCAUGGCCGGCGACGAGGCCAGCACCAUCGCCGAGAUCAUAGAGGAGUGCGGAGGUUUGGAGAAGAUUGAAAAUUUGCAGCAACACGAGAAUGAAGAUAUAUACAAGCUGGCCUUCGAGAUAAUCGACCAGUACUUUUCAGGAGAUGAUAUCGACGAAGAUCCCAGCCUGCUCCCCGAAACCACUCAAGGAGGAACCUACAACUUCGAUCCAGCGUCCAACAUGCAAACCAAGGAGUUCAACUUUUAGCCGCCCGGGGUGUCGGGCUCCGCCAGUUGCUCGGGUUUCUCCGUUAUCAUCCAUCUCCACCAACCAAUCUGGCAACCUGGUACCAAACGGCCUUCCAGCAUCACGUCCUCCUGGACGCCAUCACUGAAGGAUUCUCUCACACUGGGGGGUGGUGUCCUCUUUGUUUCGCUAUUAAAUUUAUCACUUACAGAACACAGCAACACUGCUUCCUGGGGAGAAACGCCGGCCCCUCGGCCCGCGUCUCUAAACCCAAACAGGUAAAACCGGAAGGAACAAAACAGCCUUCUGGGCGAGAUCUGGUUGUGUCCAGUCUUCACAAAGACAAAAAAGCACAUUUUCAGACACAAUCACGUUGCACCCCAGCGCCACACACACACAUAUAUCAUAUUGACACACACACUCUUUGACACUUAGAAGCGGCUGCUUACUUCUGUUCAGAGCUGCCAUUCACUUAUCGGGAGGAAAUACUGCUGUUUGUUUGUGGUUUAUUUUUGUGCUUUUCCCUCCCCUGGAUCGUCCUGGUGUAACUUCACCUACACACACACACACACACACACACACACACAAGUAUGCACACCAACACUCUCGGCCAGCCCCCCUCUCUCUCUCCCAGUUUAAAGAGUUAAUCCAGAGCUAAACCAGGAUUAACCGGGGACCCUCCCCGCCUCCCCGGAGAGUCACGGGGCAGGCGGAGGGGUGAAAGGGCUCUACGGCAAAAACCCACCGACUCCAGACUGGACUCCAGACUCGAUUACGUCACUGCUUUUAAUGUGACCUACGUUGAAUUACUGAAACUGUUUGUUUAAAAAAGAAAAAGAUCAUCAAAAAUGUGAAGAAAAUGCCAUAUUUUAUUAUUUUUUUUCUUUUUAAACACACAAGACCUGCUAUAACUGCCUGCUUCUAAACCCAGAGGAGCAGCGACGUUUUUUUUUUUUGUUUUUUUGUUUUGGUGGAUGUAAAUACCUUUGACGGGAGACGGCACCUUCUGGAUGAGGAACACAUCAGCUGUAGCGUUCGUUUCCCCCAGCAGGAUAUCCAUUUCUGCAAGCAUGCGCUCGCUAACGACCUGCGACUUCUUUGCCAACUGUUCACUCGGGACUCCCCUGUAAUGUGAAACCUGGAAAAAAGGAGCGUUUAACAAGAAAAACCUUCAAGCUAAAAUCGUCCUGAGUUGCUCAUCUGACCCCCGAGGUUUUUUUUUUUUGUUUUUUGUUUUUCUUUUUCCUUUUUUCCUUCCCCACUUCAGAUUUUAAGUUCAUGCUUCCACUUCUUCUGGUUGAGUCUGUGGAGCUGCUUUUUUUUUUUUCUUUUUUGUCUUCAGUCUUAUGCACAAACGUGUGAGGGGCGUAAUUAUGUCGGCCUGCAGGAAGGGACCUACGCUCACAGAGGACUAGACCGGAGGUCCUAGUCUUUACCUAAUUACCUUUGACGAGGAGUCCACAUGUCAUCACUCAAUUUGAAUAAUUAAAAAAAAAAACAAACACACACAAAAAAAUAAAUGUGUAUCUCCUUGCUGUCUAGUGAAUAUAUGACUAUAUUUACAUAAAGCCUGUACAAAGCUGCUACAGCUGACAGUCAUUGGAUGGACUAAAACUGUCAAAGAUGGCUGGGGAACGUUUGUUUUAACAAUAUUUCUUUGUUUUAUUUUUAUUUUCUGACUUGCAUAUAUAUAUAUAUAUAUAUAUAUAUAUAUAUAUAUAUAUAUAUAUGGUGAUGACAUGCUGAUAAAUUGAGACGGAAAAUCUCACGUUUCCGCUGGUUUUCGGGUCAAAGGCGUCAAACUUUAAUCCAAACCCCUGCACACUGGGGCUUUAAAUGUUGGGUGGAGAUGCUUUGAUCAGCACAGGUUUGUUUUGGGAACUAGCUGUUUAUCACUGAAGGAAAGCGUAGAGGGUGUACAGUCGUGAACUAGCGGAAUAGACCGAGCCACUUUAAAGAUCCACAAUUUUGUUGCCUUGUAUCUUGAUCUGGAUACAAGCUUAUGUUUGCUGCAAGAUUUUUACUUGCUAAUUAAAAGUUGUUUUAAAUAAAAAAAAAUAAUAGGAGAGAAGCAACAGACAGCGUUUUGGCCUCUGAUUGUUUAUAUCUUUUUAUAAAUUUUAGAUUGAAUUCUUCUCUUUAAGGUGGCUCAUUGAUGCUUUCAACUCUUGUGCAUAUUAAAGACGAGAUUGAGUUGAAAAUCA